AGAACGAACGCUGGCGGCAUGCCUAAUACAUGCAAGUCGAACGAAGGCUUCGGCCUUAGUGGCGCACGGGUGCGUAACGCGUGGGAAUCUGCCCCUUGGUUCGGAAUAACAGUUGGAAACGACUGCUAAUACCGGAUGAUGACGAAAGUCCAAAGAUUUAUCGCCAAGGGAUGAGCCCGCGUAGGAUUAGCUAGUUGGUGAGGUAAAGGCUCACCAAGGCAACGAUCCUUAGCUGGUCUGAGAGGAUGAUCAGCCACACUGGGACUGAGACACGGCCCAGACUCCUACGGGAGGCAGCAGUAGGGAAUAUUGGACAAUGGGCGAAAGCCUGAU
rnacentral:rRNA from 1 species